GGAGGCUGAAGGGGGUGCGGCUUGGAAUAAUACUGUAAUCAAACAGGAGGGCUGGGGCCGAAUGUGGGAGACGCUUAGGAGUUUUGUGUCUACAGGGUUCACAGAGCAAGAAGGGAGGGCGAGUUCAGGGGGUCGGAAGGCUGGUCGCUGCCGCUGGGGCGAUGGGCGCUGGCGAACGCGGAGACCUCCGGGCAGCUGAUCUGUCUCCUGAGCCCCCGGUAGCCAGGUCAUGGAGAAGAUGAAGGAAGGACAAGAAGACCGUCAGCGACUGGAGAAGGUGGGUCGUGGCUAAAGCCAUCAUCACCCUUAGACUUGCUGCAAAGGCCCAGGGCUGGAAGGCAGCUCUGAACUGAGGGGACAGUCUCUCUGAAAUGGAGUCCCGGUGUGCUAUGGAACUUGGGGCUAGGGUCUUGCCCUUUAGGAGCCUCAGUUUCCCCAUUUGCCCAGUAGAUGGUUGGGAAGCAGCCAGGAGAAGAUGGAAGUCUCUGGUUGCAGG